GUUUCCUAACGAAGAAACAUUUGUGAAAGAGAAGGAAGCGACUUUGUUGCGUUGGAAUUCUCGCCUAAAAAUGGAUGUGCACAUUUCGAAGCUUUCACAUGUUUAUGAUUAUGUUUAUGUUGUAUGAUUUUGGCACAUCUGUGGACAUGAGACAUUUGGAAUCCAAGAGGCCUUUGAGGAACCAAGAGGACAAAGGUCUGGGUGACAUUGCCAAACUGGAUACUCCAUGACAUGCAUCUCCCCGUGAGCAUUUUCAUUCUGAGACCAGACAAAUGAAAUAUUAGAGAAACAUGUUCUUUUUUAUCUUCUCAUUACUGUGGAAAAAAGAAGGGAAAUGAGCCCUCAUGAGUAGUCAAGAGGUAGAGCUUUGGAUUCUGCAGCUCCAUGCUCUAUCACUAAGCCAACAAUACAUGUAUAAUUUUCCAUUGUGUUGCACUUGCUCAAAAGUCAAAUUAAUCACAGCAAGCAACCAAUGUAAAAUAGAAUUUUAUGGCAAAUUAAUAAUUACGUAAAGUCAACUCAGUUAAAAGCUGGGAUUAUGUGUAUGUAAGGCAGCUUUGGGUCUACAUGUUGACCAAGUGUCAGUUAAUACCCUCAUCAGCUGAUACAAGAAGUUUAUAACCCCGUUUUAGGUCAAAAGCUCUUGCUGAUAAUAAAUCCGAGUUGUUGGUAAUGUAUCAGCCAAGUUCUAGCCGCAUGUAUCAUUUAUUGUACAUGGCGCACCUUAUGGGGCAAAAUUUAAACUCAUACUGGGCCAUAAUAUCCAGAUUUACCUUUCUGCUGUGAUAUUGCAAGAGGCAGAUUAUCCUUAAUUUUACUAAUUAUCCAUUUUCAAUGUUUCUUUUACAUGGAAAUAUAGCUCUAUACCCAAGGUUGUGCAAUUCUGGUAACUCACUGUUUCAGAUUUUAAAUUUAUUUAUUUUGCAACUUCUAUUUCAACUCUUGGCAAAGUUACCAGCUGCUGUCAAAUAUUUGUUUUUGCAUGCCAUCAUUUUCUCAACUUCAUUGGAAACUGAUAUGAGAAACCAAGGCAGGAAAAUGAAAUGGAUAAAUUUGUAUUGUUUGCAUCAAAAAUCCAGAUUAAAAGUGUUGAAAAAUUGGGA